rnacentral:lncRNA from 1 species
AUUGAUUUUGAAAAAAAUGGGUGAAAAUUUGGAUUCUGUGGGUAUUUUUGAAAAGAAAAUCAGAAACCGGGGGGUCAAAAUGCAAUUUAGAAAAAUUGUGUCACGUCAGCGCCACGUCAGCGGCUCAGUCAGCAGCCACGUCAGCGGUCCAGUCAGCAGCUCUGGCCAACCAGGACCUGCUGCGUGGCAAGGCCACGCCGACCCGGGAACGGGCCACGUGGGCGAUCCGCGUGAGCGUGAUCGGACGGCCCAGAUGCGUCCCCGUGCGCACGGACGGCCUAGAUUUAAUCCAAAUUAAAUCGCGAUCGAACGACCCAGAUUAAAUCAAGAUGGACGGCUGUGAUUAAAAGGCAAAGGGUAUAAAUAAACCCCCCACACCUGACCACAAAAACCCUAGCCGCCAGCCCUCGCCGGAGAAGACGAACCAGACGCCGGAG